rnacentral:snRNA from 1 species
AACGUAAUAGAUUUAUGUGAUC